UCAUUAAUAAAACUCCUAGCCUUUGUGUCUAAGUUCGAAUCGACGAAUAUGAUGCCUAGGCCGUGGUCUUGAACCACCAGGGUGCGAGAUAGAAAUAUCUGCAUCUCCCGUAUUUGGAAAGGUGUCAUUAUGCAGCAGCU
rnacentral:ncRNA from 2 species